rnacentral:tRNA from 1 species
GAUCGCGUAGCCAAGGGGUAAGGCCGGUGGCUGCAAACCAUCUAUUACGGAGGUUCGACUCCUCCCGCGAUCUCCA